AUAGUUAUCUGGCAGAGGAGAUACCAUGAUCAUGAAGCUAGUUUUUUCAGGGUUUGGUUUAUCCAUUGUACUCCAGAUAUAUUGACCCUUGUGAUUUUCCCAAAUGUUGGACUUGACUGCAUAAUUUAUGGCAGUGGGGGGGGGGGGACUGUGUUUGAGCUUUA